rnacentral:tRNA from 1 species
GUGGCUGUAGCUCAGUUGGUAGAGCCCCGGAUUGUGGUUCCGGUUGUCGUGGGUUCAAACCCCAUCAGUCACCCCA